rnacentral:rRNA from 1 species
AGUGAACGCUGGCGGUAGGCCUAACACAUGCAAGUCGAACGGCAGCACAGUAAUAGCUUGCUCUUACGGGUGGCGAGUGGCGGACGGGUGAGGAAUACAUCGGAAUCUACUUUUUCGUGGGGGAUAACGUAGGGAAACUUACGCUAAUACCGCAUACGACCUACGGGUGAAAGCAGGGGAUCUUCGGACCUUGCGCGAUUGAAUGAGCCGAUGUCGGAUUAGCUAGUUGGCGGGGUAAAGGCCCACCAAGGCGACGAUCCGUAGCUGGUCUGAGAGGAGGAGCAGCAACACGGGAACGGAGAGACGGUCCAGACUCCUAAGGGAGGCAGCAGUGGGGAAUGUUGGACAAGGGGGGCAAGUCUGAUACAGCGAUAACGCGUGAGUGAAGAAGGCCUUGGGGUUGUAAAGCCCCUUUGUGGGGAAAGAAAAGCAGCAGGUUAAUAACCCGCUGUUCUGACGGUACCCAAAGAAUAAGCACCGGCUAACUUCGUG